GCUGCAAAGAGAUGUGGAGAAAAACGUGUAAGGUUGGAGUGCUUGCUGGAGGGGGAGCUGUAUAUGGCUGUGCUGUCAUUUUCAAACCAGCCACUGAGUACAGAGGCUUGUACCAUUGCCUUUAAGCCUGUGGGUGUGUUUUUAGUUGAAAACUUAUGAACCCAAUAUAUCAUCUUUGGGUGCUAAUCUAAAUUGAUCUCACUUUGUUCUUUGGUGAGUUUGGGUGGCACAAGCCAGUGCUUUUCAGAGACUGCUGAGAUCCCCAGUUUAAGCUGAAUUUAGAAGCUUCACGUUGGCAAACUGUACAUUAAGUCUUUGAGGCCACACACCUCACUACCCUUCUCUCAUUGUCCCAGCUUAUUCCCAAUCUCUGAAGUGCUGGGAUUGUUGGGAUAUAAAAACUAUAUCUAGUGCUGUCCAUAAAACAGAUAUUCUCUGUCCCAUAGACCCAAAACUUGCCUUCUUUUUUUUUUUUUUUUAUCUUUUUAGGACCACACCUGCGGCAUAUGGAAGUUCCCAGGCUAGCAGUCGAAUUGGAGCUGCAGCUGCCAGCCUACACCACAGCCACAGCAACGUCAGAUCCAAGCCGUGUCUGUGACCCACACCAAGCUCACGGCAACACUGGAUCUUAACCCACAGAACGAGGCCAGGGAUGGAACCCGCGUCCUCAUGGAUUCUAGUCGGGUUUAUUAACCACUGAGCCAAGAAGGGAACUCCCCAAAACUUGCCUAUUAACUGUUGCUGAAAAAAGUCUUAGAGUUUCCUUGUGGUGCAGUGGGUUAAGGAUCUGGCAUUAUCACUGCAGCAGCUUGGAUUGCUCCUGUGGUGCAGGUUUAAUCCCUGGCCCAGGAACUUCCACAUAGUGCAGGUGUGGCCACAAAAAAAUCUUUACUAGAGCUUUUUCAUACAGUAGGGUGAUCAUAAAUUAACUAUGAUCAUGCAAGGAUAUAAGAAAUGUGAAAUAUACUGCCACCAAAACCAGGCAGCCCUCUUCCUUAAAGUGAAUUGAAGGCUGGAAAUAAAGAUUUAUAAACUCAGAGGAGAACCAGAUUAACUGAAAGUCCAUAAGUAGCCAGGAUUAAGCAAAGUGUAAUGGAUUUUCCUCUCCUAUAAGUUCAAGGAUGGUAAGGCUGCAUUUCUUUGUUCCUUGAAUUCUUCAUCGUCUUGUUAAUCUGGAAGCAUGCCAGGCUUCAGGAGCGGGUGAAGAGCUCCUUGGUCUUUAAGUCCUUCUUAACAUUAAAGGACAGUAUUUAAAACCUCUCUUGAAGCCACCUCUAACAUUUGUAGGAUUGCUGCCAAUCUCUGUUCCUUGCAAAGAGCAAGGAGAUGUAAAAACAGCAACAGCACCUCUCUCAGGGUCCCCCAGCCCUUUCUUUAUAACUUCUUCCCUUUGAUAAAGUGAAAUUGGCAUGCUGUAUUGUGUCAGAGUUUGGGACCCACAUAGAUACGGAUGGGAGGUAAAGAGUGACUGGCUACCGCUGUGCCAGGUGUUCACCGAUUGUAAAACUGAAUAAUGGAUAAUAACCAUCUCAGUGUGUUUAUCAGUGCAGUUCGCUCUCUCUGAUGUAGAAGAGGUCACUGGAGACAAUGUGCAGGCCUCUCGUCGGUCCUAUUAACACGGCACUGCUGGCUGGAAUUCAGGCUCCAUUACUUACGUACAACAAUGGCAGGGACCCUGCCUCGAGUUGUAAUUAGGCUUGAUCAGGGCUAGGGUACAGUUGCUCUAAUCAGAAUCACUCAGAAUUAAUUUUAGUCUUGUGAAAGGAUAUGAGGUGAGAUUGAUUUCAUGGUAACCAAAGCAACCCUGUCUUCUAUAACUCUCCAAGCUAGAGAGACAGAGAGAGAAAAUGAAUGGUAAAAAAUGAGGGCAAAUGAAAACAGAAAGAUGACCGUUUUAGUUCUGUUAAUUUUAUUGCAACUGGUUAGAAGAAAAUGUGUUUCGAUGAGAGCGAAUAUAUUCCACAGGGUGAUCACUGGGUACUAGAAACUUUUAUAGGUCUCAUUUGAGCCUAAAGCAAAUCCUGUGAUGCUUAAUUCCUCUUCGUGUGGUCCAUUUCAUAUGUGUUUGGAAAUAGCCCUUUAGAGCAAGAAUUUCAUUCUGCAGGAGGAGGAAAUUCAAGUUGGGCAGUAUUUCCUUUCUCUGGUAAGAAUGAGUUCUUUAGCUUUUUACCUCUGGACCUAUGUCUGUCUCAGACCCAGUGACCACUGGCUUACACGAGAGCAAAGAGAAGAUUUUGGAGACCUGUUUGUGAGAUAGUUUAAGAAGUUACAUCCUAGACCUCGGACUCAGGACCGCCCCUUACUGGUGCUCCUGGAGUCCUGGGCACAAGAUGGCAGAGCAGCGUUGGCCACCUGGGGUGCCCUGAUCAGGCUCUCCCCAGUGCUCUGUGCACCCAAUCUCACCUGGCUGUGCGGCCACCCCAGUACCACCCCAGUUCAUGGAGGCCACGGAGGUGCCCGGGCCACAUACCCAUAUUUCCCCCCCCGCACACACCCCCGUUUCCAGGCCCAAGCCUUCCUAAGUGCAUGUUCACGAGGACCCUGGCCCUCCGAGGGUUCUGACCAGCCAGGGGUGGGGUCUGCCCUAUAGCCUGACUCCUGGAGUAGAGCCUCCAGAUAACCUGGUCUCCCUCCCAGAAAAACAGGGCUGCGUUUUCUUUUUUUCUUUUUAAAUGAUUUUUAUUUUUUUCCAUCAUAGCUGGUUUAUAGUGUUCUGUCAAUUUUCUGCUGUACAGCAAGGUGACUAAUCACACAUACAUGUAUAGAUUCUUUUUCUCACAGUAUCAUGCUCCAUCAUAAGUGACUAGAUAGAGUUCCCAUUGCUAUACAGCAGGAUCUCAUUGCUUACCCAUUCCAUAGGCAAUAGUUUGCAUCUAUUAACCCCAUAUUUUUUCUGAUUAAAGAAAAUUAAGUGUGCUGUGCCAUUAUUUAAAAAAAAAAGUUACAGAGAUGUGGCAGGUGUGAUAAGGGACCAUGUCUAAGUCCUCAUUUAGUGAAUGGUCAUUCAGUUUUUUUCAGGUUAACAAGAUGCGGCUUUGGGAACAGAAUCUUAUCUUUAAGGUUUGAGAUAAUUGGUGAAGCGAGUGUGAAUAUGCACACGCUUUUGUUUGUGUACACACAUGCAGAUAUAGAUUCAAAGGAUUUUUCCAUUUACACAUGUUUGAUCUGUGAUAUUUAGAUGUUGUAAGUGAAAUACUUACUCUAGCUCCUUUAUCCCUGUUGGCACAUUUAUGAAUCUCUUCCCAUGCCACAUCAGUUCCAAGAGUAGAAAUAUCACAGUCAUUUUGAGGACAGGAUACUGUUAAGUUUGUUUCUUAAAUACAUCUCUGGUGAUUAUGUGGAUGAGAAAAUGACAUGUAAAUAUUUUGAGUCAUUUAUGUGAGUAGGAAGUGUUUAAGCCAAGUAUGUCUCUUCCAGAUUAAAAAAGAAGAGAAGGGAGUUCCCGUUGUGGCACAGCAGAAAUAAAUCCGACUAGUAACCUUGAGGUUGCAGGUUCGAUCCCUGGCCUCACUCAGUGGGUUAAGGGUUAAGGAUCCAGCGUUGCCAUGAGUUGUGGUGUAGGUCACAGACGAAGCUCCAAUCCUGCGUUGCCGUGGCUGUGGCUGUUGGCAACUGUAGCUCCGAUUUGAUCCCUAGCCUGGGAACCUCCAUGUGCCACAGGUGCGGCUCUAAAAAGCAAAAAAUAAAAAAA
rnacentral:lncRNA from 1 species